rnacentral:lncRNA from 1 species
ACACCCCAAAUAUUUUUUUUUCAUUUUUCAUUUUUUUUUUGGUCUAACUAACUCCAAAAGGUAUGAAAAGAGUUCCUACAAAUGUUUUGGACAGUGAUUUUAACCCUAACGCCAAAAAACUUAAACCUUACCAUAGCCCAAUAACCUUAUACCUGGGUAUUACUUUCAGGAAGCCUGAACACUCCAAAUAUUUUUUUUCAUUUUUCGUUUUUUUUUUGGUCUAACUAACUCCAAAAGGUUGGAAAAGAGUUCCUACAAAGGUUUUGGACAGUGAUUUUAACCCUAAUGCCAAAAACCUAUAACCUAACCAUAGCCCCAUAACCUAAUACCCGGGUAUUACUUUUAGGAAGCCCGAACACCCCAAAUAUUUUUUUUUCAUUUUUCUUUUUUUUUUGUUCUAACUAGCUCCAAAAAAUUGGAAAAGAGUUCCAACAAAGGUUUUGGACAGUGAUUUUUAACCUAAUGCCAAAAACCUUAAACCUUACCAUAGCCCCAUAACCUAAUACCCGGGUAUUACAUUCAGGAAGCCCGAAAACCCCAAAUAUUUUUUUUUCAUUUUACAUUUUUGUUGGUGUAACCAACUCCAAAAGGUUGGAAUAGAGUUCCUACAAAGGUUCUGGACAGUGAUUUUAACCCUAACGCCAAAAACCUUAAACCUAGCCCCAAAACCUAAUACCCGGGUAUUACUUUCAGGAAGCCCGAAAACCCCCAAUAUUUUUUUUUCUUUUUUCAUUUUUUUAUGGUCUAACUAACUCCAAAAGGUAUGAAAAGAGUUCCUAAAAAUGUUUUGGACAGUGAUUUUAACCCUAACGCCAAAAAACUUAAACCUUACCGUAGCCAAAUAACCUUAUACCUGGGUAUUACAUUAAGGAAGCCCGGAAAACGCCAAAAUUUUUUUUUCAUUUUCCAUUCUUUUUUUGGUCUAACUAACUCCAAAAGGUUGGAAAAGAGUUCCUACAAAGGUUUUGGAGAGUGAUUUUAAACCUAACGCCAAAACGUUAAACCUUACCAUAGCCCCACAACCUAAUACCCGGGUAUUACUUCUAGGAAGCCUGAACACCCCAAAUAUUUUUUUUUCAUUUUUCUUAUUUUUUUGGUCUAACCAACUCAAAAAGGUUGGAAAAGAGUUCCUACAAAGGUUUUGGACAGUGAUUUUAACCCUAAUGCCAAAAAACUUAAACCUUACCCUGGCCUUAAAAUCUAAUACCCGGGUAAUUACAUUCAGGAAGCCCGAAAACCCCAAAUAUUUUUUUUUUCAUUUUUCAUCCUUUUUUUUGUCUAACUAACUCCAAAACGUUGGAAAAGAGUUCCUACAAAGGUUUUGGACAGUGAGUUUAACCCUAACGCCAAAAACCUUAAACCUUACCAUAGCCCCAUAACCUAAUUAUUUCCUUCAGGAAGCCCGAACACCCCAAAUUUCUUUUUUUCAUUUUUCAUUUUUUUUGUUCUAACUAACUCCAAAAGGUUGGAAAAGAGUUCCUACAAAGGUUUUGGACAGUGAUUUUAACCCUAACGCCAAAAACCUUAAACCUUUCCCUAGUCCCAAAACCUAAUACCCGGGUAUUACUUUCAGGGAGCCUGAAAACCCCCAAUUAUUUUUUUUUUCUUUUUUCAUUUUUUUUGGUCUAACUAACUCCAAAAGGUUGGAAAAGAGUUCCUACAAAGGUUUUGUACAGUGAUUUUAACCCUAACCCCAAAAACCUUAAACCUUACCCUAGCCUUAAAAUCUAAUACCCGGGUAUUACCUUCAGGAAGCCCGAAAACCCCAAAUAUUUUUUUCUUCAUUUUACAUUUUUGUUGGUGAAACCAACUCCAAAAGGUUAGAAAAGAGUUCCUACAAAGGUUUUGGACAGUAAUUUUAACCCUAACGCCAAAAACCUCAAACCUUACCAUAGCCCCAUAACCUAAUACCCGGGUAUUACUUUUAGGAAGCCUGAAAACCCCAAAUAUUUUUUUUUUCAUUUUUCAUUUUUUUUGGUCUAACUUAAUCCAAAAGGUUGGAAAAGAGUUCCUACAAAGGUUUUGGACAGUGAUUUUAACCCUAACGCCAAAAAACUUAAACCUUACCCUAGCCUUAAAAUGUAAUACCGGGGUAUUACCUUCAGGAAGCCCGAAAACCCCAAAUAUUUUUUUUUUCAUUUUUCAUUUUUUUUGGUCUAACUAACUCCAAAAGGUUGGAAAAGAGUUCCUACAAAGGUUUUGGACAGUGAUUUUAACCCUAACGCCAAAAACCUUAAACCUUACCAUAGCCCCAUAACCUAAUACCCGGGUAUUACUUUUAGGAAGCCUGAACACCCCAAAUAUUUUUUUUUUCAUUUUUCAUUUUUUUUGGUCUAACUAAAUCCAAAAGGUUGGAAAAGAGUUCCUACAAAGGUUUUGGACAGUGAUUUUAACCCUAACGCCAAAAACCUUAAACCUUACCCUAGCCCCAAAACCUAAUACCCGGGUAUUACCUUCAGGAAGCCCGAAAACCCCAAAUAUUUUUUUUUCAUUUUUCAUUUUUUUUUAGUCUAACCAACUCCAAAAGGUUGGAAAAGAGUUCCUACAAAGGUUUUGGACAGGGAUUUUAACCCUUAUGCCAAAAACCUUAAACCUUACCCUUGCCACAAAACCUAAUACCCGGGUAUUACUUUUAGGAAGCCUGAACUCCCCAAAUAUUGUUUUUUCAUUUUUCUUUUUUUUUGGUUAACUAACUCCAAAAGGUAGGAAAAGAGUUCCUACAAAGGUUUUGAACAGUGAUUUUAACCCUAACGCCAAAAAACUUAAACCUUUCCCUAGUCCCAAAACCUAAUACCCGGGUAUUACUUUUAGGGAGCCCGAAAACCCCCAAUAAUUUUUUUUUUCUUUUUUCAUUUUUUUUGGUCUAACUAACUCCAAAAGGUUGGAAAAGAGUUCCUACAAAGGUUUUGGACAGUGAUUUGAACCCUAACGCCAAAAAUCUUAAACCUUACCCUAGCCUUAAAAUCUAAUAUCCGGGUAUUACCUUCAGGAAGCCUGAACACCCCAAAUAUUUUUUUUCUUCAUUUUACAUUUUUGUUUGUGUAACCAACUCCAAAAGGUUGGAAAAGAGUUCCUACAAAGGUUUUGGACAGUGAUUUUAACCCUAACGCCAAAAACCUUUAAACUUACCAUAGCCCCAUAACCUAAUUCCCGGGUAUUACCUUCAGGAAGCCUGAACACCCCAAAUAUAUUUUUUUUCAAUUUUCUUUUUUUUUUUGGUCUAACCAACUCACAAAGGUUGGAAAAGAGUUCCUACAACGGUUUUGGACAGUGAUUUAAACCCUAACGCCAAAAAACUUAAACCUUACCAUAGCCCCAUAACGUAAUACCCGGGUAUUACAUUCAGUAAGCCCUUAAACCCCAAAUAUAUAUUUUUUUCAUUUUUCAUUAUUUUUUGGUCUAACUCCAAAAGGUUGGAAAAGAGUUCCUACAAAGGUUUUGGACAGUGAUUUAACCCUAACGCCAAAAACCUUAAACCUUACCAUAGUCCCAUAACCUAAUACCCGGGUAUUACUUUUAGGAAGCCUGAACACCCCAAAUAUUCUUUUUUCAUUUUUCAUUUUUUUUUGGUCUUACUAACUCCAAAAGGUUGGAAAGUGUUCCUACAAAGGUUUUGGACAGUGAUUUUAACCCUAAUACCAAAAAACUUAAACCUUACCCUGGCCUUAAAAUCUAAUACCCGGGUAUUACAUUCAGGAAGCCCGGAAACCCCAAAUAUAUUUUUUUUCAUUUUUCAUUCUUUUUUUGGUCUAUCUAACUCCAAAAGGUUGGAAAAGAGUUCCUACAAAGGUUUUGGACAGUGAUUUUAAACCUAACGCCAAAACCUUAAACCUUACCAUAGCCCCAUAACCUAAUACCCGGGUAUUACCUUCAGGAAGCCCGAACACCCCAA